AAAAGGUUAAAAAAAAUGUCACACACUGUCAGGCACCCUGGAGAACGGAGACAGCCACGCUGCUGAUUCAGAUUUAUAAAUGAGGAGAUCUCAGCUCCAUCACUGUGACAGAACUUUACAGGAAGAGCCCAACGGGGGUGAGACGCAAAGUCGGGGAGAAAACUUGAAAUGUCAAUUCGUGGAGCAAGUUAUAUUGGCAUGUAAGUGUUACACAGUUAACAUGAAGAAUUUAUUAGUAAUGAUAUCAGCAGAACUCCAAGACGAGCCAAGCUAAAGGAGCCUACCUCAUCUCAAGCAUUUCUCCGACGAGGAUAAUUUCACCGAUAUUUAUUGUCAAGCUAUUCAUCUGAUGUAUUUCUUACAGCCGGCAUACCAAGAGAUUUUAGGGAAUACAUCAAAGAGGGCUGUGGGGGUGGACCGCACAUUGUGUUCUCUUAACAAUAGUUGGCAGCCGGCAGCAUUCCUUUCCUCUGCGCUGACUCUGACCUGCUCCAAGGUUAAAAUAAGGAAUAUGUGAUCCAGUGCUCGCUUCACUUUGAAAAUAUGGAUUUCUCACAGUCAAUGAAACCUGUGUGCCCCUUGACUGUGUAAACAGCAAUGAGUUGGCUACUGAGAAAAUCAAGAGAGACAAGCUAGUGAUACUCUAGUGUCUCUAGAGAGCAUAUUAGCAUCAGGCCUCAAAUACUUUGAUCAAGGAAUCUCCUUCUAGAGUGUAAGCACUGCAGGGUUCUGUCUCUCUCUCUCUUCUGUCCGUUGUCUCAAAGGUCUGUGCACAGUAUUAGAUACUAGUAAGUGAUCCUUAGUGGAGGAGCCAGCUGAAUGGUGUAGAAACACCCCUCCCCCAUCUGGGUAAAAUACAUACAUACAUACACACACACACACACACACACACACAUAUAUUUUGCUUAGUCAAUAGUGAUGAAUGGUAGGAAAAGUCAUUGAGCAAAACUCAGAAUCAAAGUAAAACCCAGGACACCUAGGCCAUGCUGCCGCGGGCAGAAAGUAAGAACUGUCAAAAAUGCAAAGAGAUGGCACAGGUGUUCAAUGGUACAGGAUUUGCUCAGCAUGCACAAGGCCCUAGGUUCAGUGAAAAAUCAAUCAAUAAAUAAGCAAAUAAAAGUGCAGACUGGAACAUUUGUGAAAUGAGGUUAUCACUGGCCACACACACACACACACACACACACUACAUUGUGGGUCAUAAAGCAAUUAAAAGUUGAUAUGAGCACAAUAUAUCUGUUGCAGUAAGAAUUAAAGAGUAAUUGAAAUACUAAGAUAAUUUCAAACAGAGGCACAAACUCACAGUACUUGUUUUGAAAUGUUUCUUGUUGAAGAACAUGCAUUUAAAAUCAAAUUUUGAAGAAGGAAGCCAGCUGUAAUGGCACAUAUCAUUAACCCCAGCGCUCAGGAGACAGAGGCAGGCAGAUCCCUUAGUUCAAGCUCAGCCUGAUCUAUAGAACAAAUUUCAGUACAACAUGGGCUACACAGAGAAACCCUGUCUCUACAAAAUGAAACAGAACAAAACAUUUU